rnacentral:rRNA from 1 species
UACAGAGGGUGCAAGCGUUAAUCGGAUUUACUGGGCGUAAAGCGCGCGUAGGCGGCUAAUUAAGUCAAAUGUGAAAUCCCCGAGCUUAACUUGGGAAUUGCAUUCGAUACUGGUUAGCUAGAGUGUGGGAGAGGAUGGUAGAAUUCCAGGUGUAGCGGUGAAAUGCGUAGAGAUCUGGAGGAAUACCGAUGGCGAAGGCAGCCAUCUGGCCUAACACUGACGCUGAGGUGCGAAAGCAGUGGGGAGACAAAC